UGUGUACUCCCUCCGUUCCAAAAUACUUGACUUCCAUUUGUUCAAAAAUGGAUGUACCUAUAUACUAAAACAUGUCUAUAGAUACAUAUAUAUUUUGACAAAUAGAAGGCAUGUAUUGUGCAACGGAGGGAGUAGAAU
rfam:Triticum aestivum genome assembly, contig: Triticum_aestivum_CS42_TGACv1_scaffold_031248_1BL